UACGUAGGGGGCAAGCGUUGUCCGGAAUUAUUGGGCGUAAAGAGCGUGUAGGCGGUCCGGUAAGUCAGCUGUGAAAGUCAAGGGCUCAACCCUUGAAUGCCGGUUGAUACUGUCGGGCUAGAGUCCGGAAGAGGCGAGUGGAAUUCCCGGUGUAGCGGUGAAAUGCGCAGAUAUCGGGAGGAACACCAAUGGCGAAGGCAGCUCGCUGGGACGGUACUGACGCUAAGGCGCGAAAGCGUGGGGAGCGAACAGG
rnacentral:rRNA from 1 species